rnacentral:ncRNA from 1 species
CCUAUAACGAGCGAAACCCUCGUUUUGUGUUGCUGAGACAUGCGCCUAAGGAGAAAUUGCCACCGAGUGACGUGCCAGCGCUACUACUUGAUUGAGUGCCAGCACGUAGCUGUGCUUUCAGCAAGAAUUUCACCAUUGGGAGCCGGUGCCUUUCGAAGCACUUUCACGUGUGAACCGAAGUCGUCUUGCCCAAGACCCAUGGAGACCUACCUAUAGUGACAUCAAAGUACCAGUGAGCAUGGAGGUUUGGUUGAAAUUGGUUACGACGACGUCGAGUUGGCGGCGGAGAAAGACUCGGCAUGAAGGCCAGAAAAUGGUGUGGAACGUAGUGGUAAUAGUACGCGCCCCGCUCCGAAACAAAGAAAAAGGUGCGUGCCGCACUCACGAGGGACUGCCAGUGAGAUACUGGAGGAAGGUGGGGAUGACGUCAAGUCCGCAUGGCCCUUAUGGGCUGGGCCACACACGUGCUACAAUGGCAAUUACAAUGGGAAGCAAGGCUGUAAGGCGGAGCGAUUCCGGAAAGAUUGCCUCAGUUCGGAUUGUUCUCUGCAACUCGGGAACAUGAAGUUGAAAUCGCUAGUAAUCACGGAUCAGCAUGCCGCGGUGAAUAUGUACCCGGGCCCUGUACACACCGCCCGUCACACCCUGGGAAUUGGUUUCGCCCGAAGCAUCAGACCAAUGAUCACCCAUGACUUCUGUGUACCACUAGUGCCACAAAGGCCUUUGGUGGUCUUAUUGGCGCAUACCACGGUGGGGUCUUCGACUGGGGUGAAGUCGUAACAAGGUAGCCGUAGGGGAACCUGUGGCUGGAUUGAAUCCUUC